AGAAAUCUAUGCGGAUCAGAUGUGUCCAUGUCAACGCGGCUAUUGAAGUCAUAUCUGAAGAAGAAUUUAAUGACAUCCGGAAUUCUACAAUUGGCUGGGCCGAUAACACCUGGGAAGAUGACAGUGGAGAAGAUGACAGCUGGCACCCUGAAAUGGAGAUGGAGGAUGGGUCAUCUUCAGAGGAGGUUUCCUGAGUUUCAGUCAGCCGCUGAGCUGGAAUCCUUCCACAAUCAUAUACUGAUGUAUGCCAGCAAACGAUUCAGCUUUAGCCCACCUGUUUACAAAGCAUGCACCCUCUUAGCAGUGUUGGACUGAAACCAUCAUGUUCACAGACCGGUGAAGAGGAAGACUGAUGGCUCAAUAGAGUAC
ensembl:lncRNA